rnacentral:lncRNA from 1 species
CUAGGCCUAUUGGUGACGUCAACCACAAACUCCCUCGGCUUGUUACCCAUUUCUUCCGCAUUCCUGAGACGACUUUUAAUACAACCUUCCGGAAUUGCAUGUAUAGGCUCUCGUCCCUUUACCGAGCCCUUUGGACGACCACGUCCGCGCUUCUGCUCCGAGAGCAACUGCAUCCCCUGAUUAACUUGCUCCUCUAACCUAAUAAUACGACUCGCCAUGUCAUCCGGAGAAGAAAUGGAAUUAUUAUCAAAAUCAACUUCCUUAAUCGGCGAAUUAACCCGCUGGCUCGCUGAAUCUUCUGCCCCAACUACCGGUUGUUGCUCUACCACAGCUCCACUAUUCGUUCCAGAAUCCAACUCCAAAGUUCCCUCUACAUUCGAGCCCUCCUUAUCACUAGCCUUGUCCGUGUGAGGCGACCCAUCAUUUUCUUCCUCAUGUAAAGGCUCUGCUUCAUAAUUGGAGUCCGCAAUGAUAGUCUCCUCCACUUCCUCUUC